rnacentral:rRNA from 1 species
UACGUAGGUGACCAGCGUUGUCCGGAUUUACUGGGCGUAAAGAGCGCGCAGGCGGUCGUUCAAGUCGAGUGUGAAAGCCCCCGGCUCAACUGGGGAGGGUCACUCGAUACUGAUCGACUUGAAGGCAGGAGAGGGAAGCGGAAUUCCCGGUGUAGUGGUGAAAUGCGUAGAUAUCGGGAGGAACACCAGUGGCGAAGGCGGCUUCCUGGACCGGCAUUGACGCUGAGGCGCGAAAGCCAGGGGAGCAAACGGG